GCGGAAUGGAGCCGGGGGGCGGAGAUGCCAGCCUCACUUUGCGUGGUCUCCAGAACCGUUCCCAUGGCAAGAUAAAGCUGCGAAAGAGAAAGUCUACCUUGUACUUCAGCACCCAGGAGAAGAGCGCCAGGCGCCGCGGGGAUCUUCUUGGAGAAAAUAUUUAUCUGGUCUUGUUUACCAUAGCUUUACGAAUAUUAAACUGCUUUUUAGUGCAGACAAGUUUUGUUCCAGAUGAAUACUGGCAGUCUCUUGAAGUUUCACAUCACAUGGUUUUCAAUUAUGGUUAUUUGACUUGGGAAUGGACAGAGAGAUUGAGGAGUUACACUUAUCCCUUACUCUUUGCAAGCAUUUACAAGAUUCUUCAUCUUUUAGGGAAAGAUAGUGUUCAGUUGCUGGGGGCCUGGGAAGUAAGAAUGAAGCUUAUAGCUCCCUAUGCAGAGUAAACAGAAGAUUUGGAUUCCUAGACUUGCCCAAGCACUUGUGUCUGCUGUAGCAGAUGUGAGACUUUACUCAUUAAUGAAGCAACUAGAAAAUCAGGAAGUGGCAAGAUGGGUG
rnacentral:sRNA from 1 species